rnacentral:rRNA from 1 species
UACGUAGGCAGCGAGCGUUGUUCGGAGUUACUGGGCGUAAAGGGUGUGUAGGCGGUUAUUUAAGUUUGGUGUGAAAUCUCCCGGCUCAACCGGGAGGGUGCGCCGAAUACUGAAUGACUUCGAAUGCGGGAGAGGAGAGUGGAAUUCCUGGUGUAGCGGUGAAAUGCGUAGAUAUCAGGAGGAACACCGGUGGUGUAGACGGCUCUCUGGACCGUAACUGACGCUGAGACACGAAAGCGUGGGUAGCAAACAGG